UUAGUAAUAUGAAUGAGGUGAAUUACAUACCUUGUAGAGGACAACAUAUUGGGCACUGAGUUGGAAUUGGCGGAGGGCUGGGAGGGUGAGGCUGUUGAGGGUACUAAUGCGACCAGCUUUAGGGUUGUAGAAGUCAGCGCGUGAAGGGCGAGCAAUGUUCUCGUGAAGCUUCAAGGUGCAGAUAUUUUCCUCAACCCCGUUUCUUGUCUCGCAUCCUCUUUCACGUGGUUCUUCUUGUCUAGGUCUUCUGGGUUGUGUCUUUUUCGAUCUCCAUUCGCGGCUCUUGCGAGGUUGAUCUUCAUCUUCAUCUUCGUCCUCGUCCUGGUCCUGGUCUUGUUCACGCUUUCCUUGGCUUGGUCGACUAGGACGAGGUUUAUCUUCAUCUUCGUCCUCGUCCUCGUCUUGUUCACGCUUUCCAUGGCUUGGUCGGCGAGGAGGGUGAGAGGGAAUUUGUUCAUCUUCAUCAUCUUCGUCUUCAUCUUCAUCUUCAUCUUGUUGUUCUUGCCACUUGGGGCUGAUAACGCUGAGACCUCCUUCCACUGUCACGAUCUGCUUCCUUUCGUCGUCUGGAGACUGAAGUUUCUCAGCUAUGUCCUCGUUGGUGUUGAAGGAUUGUGCCAAGAAGUGUUUGCUGAAGCCACUGAGCACGCUGCCACCUUCUUCCUCUUCCUCCUGCUGGUGUUGCCCCUGCUUGCGUCCACCAUGACUUUUCUGCUGUUGUUGUUGUUGCAUGGUCUCUGGGUACUCUAUAUCUGGGUUCCCAGCAAGGUAAAAUACCUGAAAGUGAAAAAAUUAACAAGUGAGGAGAACAUGGUUUUUGUUAAUAGUAAAUGAAAUUGAAUUGAUAAUUACCCUAGGGGUUUGAUCAAGCUGGUUAUUGAAGUUAGAGGUGUCAAGAAGACUGAUGGCAACAACUGGUUCAUCGCCAGUGUUAUAGGUCCAGUAAGGAACACCAGGAGGAAUCACGAGUACGUCUCCUUCAUUGAAGUGACGAAUCUUCUGGUGACUGUCCUGUAGCUGCUGCUUCUGCGACCUUGAGCCUCUUCUGUUUGAUUGUUCUUGUGGCUCCUCAAACGUCUCAGGACAUCCUGGAAUUGCAACUCCAAGUGCUCCUUUCCCUGUACAUCAAUCAUCACCAAACAAAACAAUCACAUUUUUAUUUAAUCAGAUAUCUUAGUUGAUAUAUAUAACUUAAUAAAACUUUUAAGGUGAUUGAUAUGUCAACAAAGUCAUUCUAUAUAUAAUAAUAAUAAUUUGUAGUUAAAUAAUCAUGUAAAAUUUACUAUAGAGAUACUAUUUACUUAAAUCAUUAUUAUCUUUAGUAAAUGAUCUAUGGUAAUGUGAUGUUGAAAUUUGAACAAGUGGUGACAAAUGGAUUAAUAUACACUGAGAAAUGCUGGUGAUACUCUUUCUGAUAUGUGUGUUAGAAGCACUCCUUAUAUAUGAUUACCUUGGGCGAUGAUGAUCAUCCGGGGAUAAGGUGAGUAAGAUGGCAAGUGGAGGCCAUUGCGGUUGAGGGUGAGUUUGGAAACAGUGACACCGGCGCAUUUCAGCUCAGGGUGUUGAGAGUUCCAUGUUUGAAUCAAACCACCUUCGGACUCAACGCGGUGGUCGGGUUCCAACGCGUUGAGGUUGUUGAGUUGGCACUCGUUGAGCUUGCUGGAGCUAAUAGCAAAGCAUGCACUCGACAAGAGUAGCAAGCAAAGGGAAGAAAGAGAGAGAGUGAAGGGCUUCCCCAUAUUGAACUAAGGAAGUGUUAAUAAUUAAGUUUGAAGGAGUUGGUGAAUUGGAAAGAACAUGAGGAGUGGUGAUUUAUAGGUAUGAGAGGAGAGUGACUGAGGGACACGUCAAUGAAUAAGGGUUGCUGAGUUUGUGACAUUCUUCACCUUGCAUGGCUAUUGUUUCCAAUUUUGUUACACCUCAUACAUAAGCAUGCAUGCUUCGUUUAUAUUUGCAAUGGUACAAUGAACAACACCAAAAUUGGAGGCACUCUGAAUGGUCCCCUCCUACAGAUUCUCCGCGUCUCAAAGUCUAUCCUCUUAUACAAUAUGAGAAUAUCAGAUCAAUAUUGUUCUAUUCAGUUCAUCAUGUAUAUUUUUAUACAAUUUCGUUUAUAAAUGAGAUAAGCUGAUUAAAAAUGUGAAAUAAAAUAAAUAAUAUUACAGUAAAAGAUAAAAGAAAAAGGUUAUAGAAACUGUUAAAUAUUUUUCUUAUAACCAUUAGUAUAUAUCAUCGAUCUUUCAUAUGAUGCGUUAAUUAUUAAAAAACAAAUCCACAAUAUAUAAUCUUUGCCUGAAUCCUCCAGCAUAAUUGUCUCUGUAAAGAUAUAUAUUAAAUACUAUGGUGUGUUAAGAAUCCUUCUCAAUUUGAACUGUUUUACUGUGCAUUUUGUCAGUACUAUGAUCUUAUAUUGUAUAGUAACGGCGCCUCCUCUUUUCCCACUCAAGACUCAACGUUUGUAAAUAAUGAUUUUUUCUUCUGCAUUAAGUAUAUUUUCAGUUGAGAGAUGAAUCCUUAUUACAUGAAUAAUUAUAACUAUAUACAAAUUUUCUCUUUUAUUUUUCUCUCUUUUCUUAUCAUAUUAUUUAGUACAUUUUAAUAUUUCUCCCUUUUCUUUUUUAUAUCUCUCUCCCCGAAACAAUUAUCUUUUUAAAAUUCUCUUAAAAAAAUUGAAACAGAUAAACAAUUAUUUCUUUAAAUUGAAGAAACAUUUAGUAAGUUUAAUUUCAUGCAUUACUAGAUAACUAGGAAGAGCACUCAAAAUAUUCAGAGAGGAUGAGAAGGUGAGUACACGUAUAGAGGGUAACAGCUCUUCUGCACGUGUGCAUAUGCAUGGCUAUCAUAUGAUAUAAAUUACGUACACGUGCCUCCCUUAUUUUAUUCGGAUAGUGAAUUUGGGCUACAGUCUAAAAAAUACAGAGGCGUCGAUUUUAUGCGUAUAUAUAUACGAUUGAUCGGUGGAUCUAGCUAUCUGAGUAAUGUUUGGAUUACAGGAUUAUAUAAGUGAGAGACAGAGAAGCAUGAAUAAUUGAUUAAAGACUGGGACCAUGUCUGAACUAUUUUAUUCAAUACAAGAGGAAUAAAUUAAUGUUAACAGUGGAUCACAAAUUUAGUGAUAAUUUUUCAAAAUUAUAUAUAAAUUACUUCGUUACUAAUUUUAUUUUUUCUUAAAAACUCACUUAGAAUUAUUCAUAUAUUGAAUUUUUUAUAUACGAUUAAGUUAAAUACUUUAAAAAUAAUUAUUCUUCAUACUAAUUUUAUUUAACUUAAAUAGGAUUACCUCCUCUUAUGAACGAUAUCAACCCUUGUUAAACUUUAAAAUAAAAAACUUUAACAAUAUUUUAUGCUAUCGAUUAGAUGAUGAGCAUGCAUGUUAUAUAGUUGAUAGACACAAAUUUUACUAGAUUAAAUAUUUUUUAAGUCCUCAACGUAAGUGUCCUUCAUUAAAAAAAUUUACAAACAAAAAAAUCAAACAUAAAUUCUUUUAAUAAAUUAUAUUAUUGUGUGCAUCUAACAAGAUCAACAUUCUAUUCAUAUAGAAUACUUUUUAUUAAUUUCUUUCAUAAAUGAGAUAAAUGGAUAUACAAAAAUAUGUUAAAUAAUAUGACAAUAAAAGAUAAAAAAAAACAAAUAUACAAGUUGUUCUCCAGCUUGUUUUAUAAACAUAGUAUCGUGUUCGUCUCUUUUAUGAAAACAAGUAAUUAUACUACGUACGUUUUUGAGAAUCCUUCACAAUUUGGACUAUUUUAUUGUACAAUAUCUCUCUAUAUGCAAAAGAUCUUAUAAGCAAAGGCGUCUACUUUUUUUUUCCACUCAUCCAGACUACUUGACAUUUGCAAAUGAUGAAUUUUUCUACAUUAAUUAAGGACACAUUUUCAGUUGAGAUAAAUCCUUUUUAGAUAAGUGGUUAUUUUGAUUAUUUUAGAUGAGUGAUUACAAUUAAUUAUAUACCAAUUUUCUCUUUCAUCCUUUAUUUAUUUUACUUUUCUAUCUUAUCAUAUGAUUUAUCACGUUUUAAAUUUUGCAUUUUCUUUGUAUUAUUUUUUCUUUUAUCUUUCUAUAUAUCUUUUUUCCCUAAACAUUUAUCUUUUUUAUAUACUCGUAUACAGUACAAUCGCACUUUAGCGUGCAAAUCCGUUGCUAUCAUAUCAUAUUAAACUUACACGUGGCUCACUUAUUUUAUUUGGCUGGUGAAUUUGAGCUAUAAUUAAGUCAAGAAAACAUAUAGAGGCGUCGAUUUUAUGCGUAUAUAUACGAUGAUCGGUGGAUCUAGCUAUAUAGUAAUGUUUGCAUUUCAAGCAGUGCGGAUCCACACUUAUUUGGGUUGUACAUGUAUAUUUUAUUUUUUAAAUAAAUUGUCUCUCCUAACUUAGAUCUAAAUCUAUCAUUAUUUUAGGAUUAUAUAAGCAUAUGCAGUAUACUGAACAGUGAGAGAAAGAGAAGCAAGAAUAAAUCUUGAAAGAGUACGAUCAUGUCCGAACUAUUAUAUUAGAAGAGGAAUUAUAAUUAUUGUUGGAUAAAUAUUUAUUUUACUCUUUUCAAAGUGGUAAGGAUUCACAACUUGAUUCUUAAAAAAUGAAAAUUUUGAAUUUAAUUUUUAAAUGUAUAAAAAGUAUAACAGAUUGAUUCUUAAAAGAUAAAAAAUUUAAAUUUAAUCCCCUAAAUAUAUAAAAAAUGUGACAAAUUAAUUUUAUCCUUAAUUUUCUUAUGUUAUCCCUAACCUAUCUUGCAUGUUUAAACAAUACAUUCAAUGAUGAUAGUUGACAAUUAUCAUUAUCAUGUGAUUGUCCUUUUUUAAUUUAGUUUUUAAAUUUAAUAAUUUAUUCUCAUUUUAACAUUUGAAAUCACUUAUUAACAUUUUGAUAUCUAAGGUAACUUAUUAUCAUUUUAAUAUUUGAAUAUAAUCAGUUACUAACAUUUUGAUCUCUAAGCUUAAUUAUGUAUUCUCAUUUUGAUUUUUAAAAAUAUUUUUAAAUUUUUAAUUAAAUCUCACAUUACAUAUAAUUAUUAAUUAUUAGCAUACUCAUCAUCAUAUCCUCUUAUUUUCAUUUCACAUCCUUCAUUUUUCACUUUUCUCUUAAAUAAUUCAUCUUGACUUUAUAUUCAUAAUUUGUAUUCAAAGUUGGUUAUUUAUUCAAUUAAAACAUCAAUUCUAAUAAGAAAAUAACAUAAAAACAUCCUUAACAAAUUAUUUAAUUUCCAUCUUAAUAGAAGUGAAAAAAUGUUGUAAUAUUUAUACUGACAUGCAAUAUGAAACUUAAUCAUGAGUUUAAAAAAUUCAAAGAACACUAACCGGAGACAUUGAGUCUGUGGAUUCUCUCCGAGCAGCAGGAACAACCUUGCCCCUGUUAUAUUCUUGCGUGGGGAUAAAACCACUGAAUCCCAACGUGAUUUGCAUGGAAGAAUUUAAGAAUGAAGAUUUAAUUUAACCAUUUGGAGUGUCUCCAUAAAUUUCAUUCAGUCUUGAACUAAUUCUGGAUGUACUUGUGAUUAUACUUUAUGAUGCAUCCUGGUAAAGGAGUUUUAAAACUGCAGUAGGCUCAAGGUGUUUUGUUUUGGAAAUUGGUUCCAGAAAAUUUUGGUUGAGUUUGUUGCCGAGUUCUGCAAUGGAAUAUAAUUAAUUUUAAUUAACUUCCAUAAGCAGAUUCUUAUUCCUUUCACUGACAAAAAUUUCUUAAUCCAGCAACCAAAAUUAAAUAUGAUUAUUAAUCAUUUUUUAUUCAGAAAACUUGAUGCACCCUGAUGCAUUUUCCAUUUUGCUGAUGCAACCAAUUGUCUGCAUUUUGACUACGUUCUUUGUCUAUCUCAAGAUAAACAAGUUAUCCCCCAAAAAUUAUCUACAACUAAUAGAAAAGGACAAGAGGUAAAUAUUACAGAAGUAAUGUUUAUAUAUCAUUACUCAAUAGUACACAAUCAUUCAGUCAAAAUUUUCAUACAACCAAUUGUUGGUUUUUACAAUGAAAGUCAUAUUUAUCAUUUUUUUUUGUUGAUUAACAGUGAAACAAUUUUUACACUGACAAUGAAAUUAAUCUCAAUAAAAAGAAUGCAAGACUUCAAAUAAAUCAAACUCACUGUGGUUGAACUAGGCAACUAGCUGUAAUGUAAAGUAUGUAACAUAAAAUCUUCUAUUCCAUUAAUUCAUGGCUUUGUGUCCCAAAUGUUAAAAAAAAAAACCCAUUAGAAACAUAUGGAUAUGCAAAGAAUCAAUUCUAGCAGUGAGUAAAAGGGGUCUAUUCUGCCAGAAAUUUCAUGUUGGUAUAACUGAGUGUGAAUGUACAAUAUCUUCAAAUCAAAUUGCUACUGUAACAAGAAGAACAUUGGAACAGUGGUUCUAGCUGUAAAUCUAUAGAACAUUUUUUUCUUCUUAUAGGUUCCAUUUUCAACUGUUAUCACUAUCUUCCCAGGUUCACUGAUGUAAAAGGAGUUUCUAGUGCUGCUACCAUCUACACUUUGGUUUUGCAAUAAUACACUGUAUGAGCCUUCAUCAUCUGGAAUGAACUCUUCCUUGUAGGACACAUUCCAUCCCACCACAGUUACAUCCCACAUUAUUGUCACUCCAAGCUAGACACAUUCCAAAAUCAAAUUACAACAAAUAAGCAAAUUAGGCCAACAUGAUAAAUAAUAAUAGAGUUUAAUGUAUAUGUACUAGCUGUAAAACAGUUUUACACUGACAUCCAAUCACAAAUCAUCAUUUUAAUUACUUUAAGAUAAAUGUGAACAAACUUAUCAUAUAUGAUGGAUUGUAAUUAGAUGAUUGUGUACUAUAGUGCAUAAUCAUUUUUCUCAUAAUAAUAAUACUUUUACGUGCAUGUGCACAAGUGCAUUCAAUUUGAAACCAAAAAAAAUCAUGUAUAUACCUCUUUGACCGGAAAUUCAACUUUCGAAACCGUACUUCCUUUGAUUUUAUGCUCUGAAACCUUAUCAGAAGGUGAAAAAUCUUCAUCAUUGUUCCUCCUUACACCACCAUAUUCAGUUGGAAGGUGCUCUGGGGCUAUAAACCUUCACAAAUGACAAUGUUAAUUAACGGUGGUUGAAUUAGAUAAGAUUGAGAGAAUGGAACCUAAACACUUACUUAAGAAGUGUCUGUGUGACCUUCUGUGGCCUAGCUAAGAUGAACUUCUUUUUAUUUCUCUGAUUCAUGAACCUUGAGAAUAGCACUUGAGAAGUGUAGAACCAAAAUGGAGCAUAUACUAUAAUCUGCAAAAUUAAAUAUAAAAAAAAUGGGGGAAAGAAAAAUCAAUCAGCAUUCUGCAGUUUCAAUUUAGAUUGAAGACAUAAUAGCCAAUAUGCUCUAUUAUACAUUUAUAAACUAACAUUUUUGUGAAUGAUCUCAGGGUAGUAAUUCUGAAACAAAAUUAGAGCCCUUUUGCUGAGUGAGUUGAGCUCCUUGGUUCCUUGCAUUGGUGUGUUCCUCAAAUCAAAAACCUGAAGUACAGAGUUCACUCCUCCUUCCCUAAAGCAAAGCUUCUUCACAGCCUUUUCAAUCAAUUGAAUUCUCCACCUCAAAUACUUGUCACAUUUGUUAUCUGAUCCAAAGGUCUUCUUAUAGAUGCGCCUGUCUUUGAAAAUCCCACAAACAUGGUAACACACAGGACGACCUUCCCUAUCUUUACUGCACAAGAAUCCUGCAUUAUUAUUUCCAAACUCAGCCCCCAAAUCCUCAUCAAUGAUCCUAUCAACGUUGUUCUCGCGCCGCCACACAAGUGUCUUCUGCAGCAUGUCAAAUGCCUCACUCACCUUGAAAUCCUUGGCCUUCAAGAAUUUCCUCAAAACAACAUCAGUUCCCUUAUGAGCCUUGCUUGGCAACAAAGGAACGCCCCAGAGAGUAAUCUCUCUAAUCUGUUCCCUUGCCACUACUAUUUCUUGUGGCGCAAGUUUCUCAUGA
rnacentral:lncRNA from 1 species